GUGAAUCAUCGAAUCUUUGAACGCAAGUUGCACUCUCUGGUAUUCCGGAGAGUAUGCCUGUUUGAGGGUCAGUUUAAAUAAAAAUCGGUGUGGUUGCUGCCUUUCGUGGUGACGCACCGGAUUUGGGUCGUCUUGCCUUCGGUUAAGUGACCUAAAUUUUUCAAUGUUUUUUUUGGAAGGUAUUUAAUUGAUUUUAGGAACUUUUGCGAUAUCG
rnacentral:misc_RNA from 1 species